rnacentral:rRNA from 1 species
UACGUAGGGUGCGAGCGUUGUCCGGAAUUAUUGGGCGUAAAGAGCUUGUAGGCGGUUUGUCGCGUCUGCUGUGAAAAUCCGGGGCUCAACCCCGGACUUGCAGUGGGUACGGGCAGGCUGGAGUGUGGUAGGGGAGACUGGAAUUCCUGGUGUAGCGGUGGAAUGCGCAGAUAUCAGGAGGAACACCGAUGGCGAAGGCAGGUCUCUGGGCCACUACUGACGCUGAGAAGCGAAAGCAUGGGGAGCGAACAGG